rnacentral:lncRNA from 1 species
AUUUCUAAAGUUUCUCUUUGGAACUUCUUUUUUUUUUUUUUUUUUGUAUUAUUUCCUUUUUCCUUUUUUUUUUUUUAAAUCAGAUUCAUAAAACUCUGUUGGAAAUAAUGGUGUCGUUCAACCAUUUCAAGAGUAACGACUCUUAUUUCUUGAAAAUAUUCCUUAUAUGUCUCUGAAAAAUAAAGUUCCAUGUAAAAUAGGACAGGAAUUGGCAUCUAAAAUCAUUUUAUUGAUUAAGUUUAACAUGUGUGUGUGUGUGAUAUGCGUUUUUGAGCUGAGAGGGCAGUUUUCAACAAUCAGCUCUUACCUUCUCCCAUGAUAAGGAAGAACCGCCCUUCUUGUUUCCUCCUGCUAGCUGCCCCAUAGACACCAGAGUUGACUUUUCUGUCUCCCAACCCCAUCUUGCAGUAGGAGUCCUGGGGUUACAGAUAAGAGCCAUUACAUCUGCCUAUAGGAUCAUCAGGUGUGAGCGACAAGCACUGACACUUGGUGAACCAUUUCAUACCCCCUGCACGCUAGCAUUUUCGCAGUUAACCAUCUCUUUUGAGCUUUGUUUUGCAAAACUCCUAUAAGACCUCUUACAAAAAUCCUCAAAGAUUUCUAGAAGUAAUAUGGAGAAUUUACUACCCAAUUAAAAUUGACAAGAAAGUAGGCUUUGACAUUGAUUAAAUAAACCCAAGAUGCUACAUCCACACUGGGACGCUUUGUUUUAACUUAUCUAUCAUUUCCUCCUCACAAUCAAUUCUGAUACAUUUUCUACCACAGGCAAAAUUGGCAAGAGUAAAGUCCUGCUAUUCACUGUGGAUUUUCAGAUCUAACCCCUGUUAGUAACCUUGAGAGCAAAUGUGAGGAAUUGAAAAGGUACCUAUAGCGUUAUGUAACACAACCGCUCUCUAUCUAGUGCACGUUAGAAUCACCUGGGAAGGUCUGCAAUAUGCCAAGAUCUAAAUUGUAACCAAACGCUUGAGUUUAUUUGUUCACACUCAGACGUCCCGAAUUCAAGGUUUGGGAAGGCCCUGGGUGAUUUUAAUGGAUGGUUAAGCUUGAGGACCAUGGGUCUUUGCUUGACUCUGUGGCUACCACCCAGUUCUGAUUUAACUACGUGCUAUGUGACUUUGUGACUCUUAUUUAAAAAGCCUCUUGUAUCAGUCAAUUGGCCAUUAGUCGUACCUGAGUCAAAGUAUCAUUCUGAAAAUCCAAAGAAAUAAAGGAUGGUACUUCUUUUUUUUUUCUUUUUGUAUUAUUUCCUUUUUUUUUUUAAGCAAAGUUAUAGUUCUUGAAAGAUAAUAUCCAGUAAGUGCUCCCUUUCAACUAUAUUGUCUCAAAGAGACAAUCUCCAAGAUGAGACUGGGGGUGGGACAUGUCUCAGGAGCAGCAGGACAGGUGUCGAUCCACCUUUUGCCUUGAAAGGAAUGGCCCUUGGGUAAGUCAAGGGGUGCCUGCCUGCUGGGCUUGGAGUCUGGGACAAAGCAAAAACUGGGAAGAGGAAAAGUUAAAAGAUCAAAGAGUUGGACUGAGCUACCUGAUACGGGUGUUCUGCUACAGAGCUGGGGAUGAGAGUUGGAGCCUUGGAACUGGGGUCAGGGGCAGAGAGAAGGUCUGCAGGCAGCCUACCUGGUUCUCUGGCAGGCCUGGCUUGUGGAUUAACAGGAGAACCUGCUGGAGUUGAGGGCUGAAAAAGAGCAACCAACCUGGCCUACUUUUAUGUUAGGUGGUGGUAGGCGGGGGGGGCGGGGUGUUCUGCCUAUGAUCUCUUCACACCCCACAUUUUCAAGAGUCAGUGCACACAGGCUAAGAUUGCAGUUGGCCGGCAGGGCCCCCAGUUUGAAUUGUGAUAGAAAUAGUGAGAAAUAGCAUCUCUUCCUCUCCACUCAGCAUUUUUUUUCUGUCUCCGUUUUCACAGCACAUUAUAUUAGUAAUGAAGUCAGAAAGGCGCUGAACAAUCUUACUAUUCCAGAAGAUUGUCAUGGUGGCCUUGGUGUUUUAAGUGUGACAUUAAGAUAUCUAAUAUUCAGAAGCACUAGAAAAGUUAAAUUGUAUCUAGCCCCACUUCCCUAGAUGUAGUUUGUAUUAUAGAGAUAUUGCUUAAAUCCAUGUGACUGCUGAAGGAGAAAAGAAUGAAGCCAAUUACACUUUGAGAAACUCGGUGAAAUAUACUUAUUUCUAACAUCAUAUCCUGGUAUGAGUGUCACGUUCAUACCCUUUUGAGAGAAAACCCAUUCGCUGUAAUUUAAUAUUGAAAGUGCCGAUUCUCCUGCUUUGCAUUUAAAAUCGUACAGUUAACUUAGUGCAAGCCAUUUUACAGAUUUAACCUCUAAACUUGAUCUUGUCUGUCAGCAGUUCCUGACCGUAAUCCAAGUGGGCAAUGAAACAAGAAGCAACCUCAGUUCCUUCACAUCUUUGAAGCAUCCUGUCUCUGUGUCUUAGAGCAUUCCCUGCCACCUCCAUCCCAGGUGCAGCACUCCCCCCCCCUUUCUUGAUCCUAAGAAUGAUCCUGCUGUCACACAAGUUGUCUCUUCCUUCUAAGGCCCAUAGUCUUGUGUGUGUCACAGAGAUGUUUGAGGAGGUAACUCUAGUCCACAGCUCUCACCCACAUUAAGUUCACAUUGUUCUUCUACCUAAUAUUCCAGAUAUUGCAUCAAAUAUCUCAGAUACAAGGCAGAUAUCCCAAGACUUCAGCAGACUGUGACUGUCGGGUUCAUCUUGCUUUUCAUGUCAAUGUCAAUGACCAAACUUGGUCACGCCCAUAGAUAUUAGGGAGGCUUCAGAGCAAACGUCCAUGUUCAACUUAAGUAUCUAGGUUCUUUGUGAGUCACUGAUACAUACCAGUGCCCAACCUGACCUGCCCUAAAACCCAAGUUGCCUUAUUUAACUUCCCCUAUGUACAAAUAUCAUUUACAUAAGCCAUUUCAGAUCAUGGAACACAACCAAAGUCCAGGUUAGAGAACAGUGAGAUAAGUGAGGUAUUGCUAUCAUUUUGUUGAUAUUUUUCCUAGCAAUGAACAUUUAUUUAACUUGGUUUUUUUGUUUGUUUGGUUUGUUUUUGUUUUUGUUUACUGUUUUCACAGUGCUGCAAAAAGCUACCUAUAUUUUUCUACAGGUUUUCUUCUAAGAUAACAUAUUAAAUGAGUGAUUGGUGAGGCAAAGACGAACAUUUUAAUUUGAAUAGUUGCUAUGCUGCAAAUUUACUUUUAAAAAUAUUUAGGGUAAUUUGUAAUCCCACCAGAAUGAUUACUGCGUAUGAAUAAUAUCCAUCUUUUUUAUCAUUCUGAAGAGCAAACAUGCUUGCUUCUUAUUUUAGAUAGCAUUUUUGGCUGCUUCUGUAACAGCUUGCCUGUUCAUGUGUGUGUAUUCCUCAUUUCUCUUCUAGGAGGCUGGACUUUCCUGUCUCUCACUAUUUCUGAGUGUCAUACUUUUAUUAUCAAGAUGUCUUUCUCUUUUCAUUUCAGUGUUUGAGAAAUGUCUAAAAACACAUAUCCAAAGGAUUUUGUUUUGAAUUUUCAGUUUAUAAUUAUAAUAAUUCCUAUGACUUUUUCAAACACUGUUUCCCAAUGUAUUCCAUUUAAGUCACUGAGCACCAGUGUGAAAACCUUUCAUAUUGUUUUUAAGCUUUCUCUGAAAAUGCAUGGUAUUUAGCUAACAAAAAAUGAAUGUACAUGGUGUGUCACUUCCGUGUGAUGCUCAUGAUGUUUUAUAUGUACAUUCAGAGUAGCAGGGUUACAGCUACAUGAUAACUAUGUGCAUGUACAUAGCAUGUUGUACAACAUACAGGAAUGGAAAUCAUUAUGCUUCUUUUCAAAUUCGAGGAAUAUGUUUUCCUCCUGGGGUACCACUAACUCACCAACUCUCUUCAUAGCCUCAGGCUUACCCUUCUAGAGUGUUUGUACCUAAUCAGAGGACAGACUCCACUAGUUGCACUAACACUGAAACUUAAGCACUCUUUCAUCUGUUUGGCAUUUUUGUACAUGCUUAGAACACUGGUGUCUUCAACAUGAACAAGGUCAACUGUUGUCCUGGAUUAUCCUACCAGAUAAAGGUUUCCUUUAUACAAGUUUAAAAUGUCAAUUCAUUAUAAACACACAAUUCAUGUUUUCAUGGUGAAUUAUAAUUUUAAACUUGGUGAAUGCAAAUGGUAUUCCCCUAUAGACUCAUAGAGAAUGGCAUUACUGAAGGAGUUACCUUGUUGGAGUAGGUGUGGCCCUGUUGAAGGAAGUGUGUUACUGGGGAUGGGGUGGCUUUGAAGUUUCAUAAGCCCAGGCCAGGCUUAGUGGCUCACUCUGUCUUCCUACUGCUUAUGGAUCCAGUUGUAGAACUCUUAGCUACCUCUACAGCACCUUUUCUGCCUGCAUGCCAUCAUGUUUCAUGCCAUGAUAAUAAUGGACUGAACCUGAAAAUUUUAAGCCAGCCAGAUUUAAAUGAUUUCCUUCAUAAGAGUGGCCAUGACCAUGGUAUCUCAUCAUAGCAAUACAAUCCAAACAAAGAUGGUGAACAGCAUAGUACAAAGUUGCUAUGGUUUGGAUGAGUGUCCGCAAAAGUCUACAAGUAAAAGCUUCAUUCCCAAUCUGUCAUAUUGGGAAAUGAUGCUACAUAUCUUGAAGAAUAAGGAAGAUUGUGCACUAAAAAUAAAUAAAGAACUCCCAAGAGUAGAGCUAUUAUGGAAGGUCCUUGGGUCACUCUGGUUACUAGUACUUGCACUGACACCUGCUUCUGCCACAUAUUAUCCUUUCCAGAGAUGCAAACUGAUAGAGCCACCAGAUCAUGAACUUAUAACUCCUAUACUGUGAAUCAAAAGCAACUGUGGUUAGCUUCAGAAGUAAUCUGUGUCAGGUGUUUUGUUUUACUGCUACAAAGCCAACCAAGACGAUAGCCAAACCUAGCUACAACAGACACUAAGGAGUAUUGCAUCGAAAUGUUAGGCAAGUGGCCAGGAAAAAUGUAAAAAUCAUACUUGAUUAGGGGAUCAACAGCAAUCUCUACCACAUUCCUUUGUUUCCCUUGCUGGCUAGAUGCAGGUUUCUAUCUAUAACAUCAUUUUGCACAGACAAGUAGACACUGCAUCUAUGUCUUUGCUGUACCCAGGAUUAAAACCAUAUAUAUUGUCAUACAGUCCUUAUCAGCCAUCCCUGUAUCAGAUAGCAUGUAAUUAUACUAAUUGAAGAUAACUAAAUAUGAUAUUGAAGGUUCCUUGUCUUAACAAACAUGUAGCAAAAUUAAAUUUUAAAAAAGGACUGCAGGCCAACUAGGGUUUCAUAGCAACUUCAAGGCCAGCCUAAGCUACAUAUGGGAUAGUUUUCCAAAAGCCAAGAGCUAGAGGUGUAGCUCAGUGGUAGAAUGCUGAGAUAGCAAAUAUAAUAUCUGCAUUCUAUUUG